rnacentral:lncRNA from 1 species
ACUUGAUAGGAAAACUACCAUUUUAUUUUGAUUCCUCUUCAAUGAUCUGGAAUUUCUGCGAGGAGCUCUGUUCGAGAGGAAGCACUGGCUCUUAUCGAAAUUGACCUUUUGGCCAUUACAACAUUACAAUCAGCUUCUUACUUCUUUCCAGAAAGAUUUUCUGCUUCUUAAGAUUCCGUUUAUGGCUAUUAUAUAAUAUUAGAACAUCGUUAUCAAAGAGAAAGUAGGAGAGUGCUGGGCACGAUCUCGAAGCAUGGUAAGAUGUUAUCAUUUUCAAUGAUACCAAGUCCCGGCUUAGCACUUCUUCAGCUAAAAUCAACAGGCUAGGUUUGGAACCCUUGUCGCAGCCCUCGGUUUAUGGCUGUUAUAUAUUAUUAGAACAUCGUUAUCAAAGAGAAAGUAGGAGAGUGUUGGGCACGAUCUCGAAACAUGGUACCAAGUCCCAGCUUAGCACUUCUUCAGCUAAAAUCAACAUGCUAGGUUUGGAACCCUUGUCGCAGCCCUCGAGAAGCU